UUUCCUCUAUGUGAGGACUAUAUAUUAAAUGCAGUUUUUUAACAGGGAGAAGGAAUAGGAGCUUGCUCCAGCCACUCCAUGCUUCAGCCUGGUAUUGCAGUAUCACCAGGAAUGGUUU
rnacentral:snRNA from 1 species